GACGAACGCUGGCGGCGUGCCUAAUACAUGCAAGUCGAACGCUUCUUUCCUCCCGAGUGCUUGCACUCAAUUGGAAAGAGGAGUGGCGGACGGGUGAGUAACACGUGGGUAACCUACCCAUCAGAGGGGGAUAACACUUGGAAACAGGUGCUAAUACCGCAUAACAGUUUAUGCCGCAUGGCAUAAGAGUGAAAGGCGCUUUCGGGUGUCGCUGAUGGAUGGACCCGCGGUGCAUUAGCUAGUUGGUGAGGUAACGGCUCACCAAGGCCACGAUGCAUAGCCGACCUGAGAGGGUGAUCGGCCACACUGGGACUGAGACACGGCCCAGACUCCUACGGGAGGCAGCAGUAGGGAAUCUUCGGCAAUGGACGAAAGUCUGACCGAGCAACGCCGCGUAAGUGAAGAAGGUUUUCGGAUCGUAAAACUCUGUUGUUAGAGAAGAACAAGGACGUUAGUAACUGAACGUCCCCUGACGGUAUCUAACCAGAAAGCCACGGCUAACUACGUG
rnacentral:rRNA from 1 species